UUGGCCAUCAAUGCUACAGUCAAUGUUGGUAAAUGCGAUAUUUGUCGUCAUUGGGCCAUCGGAUGAUAUCGUUGAUUAGCCAACGUAACCAAAAUAAACAAAGGCCCGUUGUUGGGCAUCAAUGCUACAGCGAAUGUUGGUAAAUGCGAUAUUUGUCGUCAUUGGGCCAUCGGAUGAUAUCGUUGAUUAGCCAACGUUACCAAAAUAAACAAAGGCCCAUUGUUGGGCAUCAGUGCCACAGCCAAUGUUGGUAAAUGCGAUUUUUGUCAUCAUUGGGCCAUCGGAUGAUAUCGUUGAUUAGCCAACGUUACCAAAAUACACAAAGGCCCAUUGUUGGGCAUCAAUGCUACAGCCAAUGUUGGUAAAUGCGAUAUUUGUCGUCAUUGGGCCAUCGGAUGAUAUCGUCGAUUAGCCAACGUUACCAAAAUAAACAAAGGCCCAUUGUUGGGCAUCAGUGCCACAGCCAAUGGUGGUAAAUGCGAUAUUUGUCAUCAUUGGGCCAUCGGAUGAUAUCGUUGACUAGCCAACGUUACCAAAAUACACAACGGCCCAUUGUUGGGCAUCCGUGCCACAGCCAAUGUUGGUAAAUGCGGUAUUCGUCACCAUUGGGCCAACGAAUGUUAUCGUUGUUUAGCGAACGGUAGCAAAAUACACAAAGGCCCAUUGUUGGGCAUCACUGCCACUGCCAAUGUUGGUAAAUGCGAUAUAUGUCAUCAUUGGGCCAACGAAUAUUAUCGUUGUUUAGCCAACGGUACCAAAAUACACAAAGGCCCAUUGUUGGGCAUCUGUGCCACAGCGAAUGUUGGUAAAUGCGAUGGUGGGCCAAUACAAAAUUAACGUUGGCUACGGAACGAACCUCAUCCCAACGUUUUCCCUACCGUUGGCACCGUGGGCCCCAACGAAAAUGCUACUAGGUUAUUUUAUUAUACUUACAAAAAAUAAAUACGUACCGAGAAUGCCCUUAAACGAAUUAGGUACCUACUCGUAUUUUUGAUACAGCCUGUAUACUUAAAAAUAAAUAACAAAAACCAAAGAGCCCCACAAUCUAAUCGGGUCAUGGGAAGAAUAGUUCCCACACAGGCAAAUUCUAGCCAGGCAAUGGGAUAGAGUCAUCCCACAUCCUAAUUCUGGUCAUAUCACAAGGACGCAGGAGUAUUUAGCAAAAUAUAUGAUUAUAUUACCUUACAAUCAUUAAAAUCAUGAAAAUAACAAAAAAUGGUUCUAUAUAUCUGCUUGUGUUUUUCUUAAAUUCAGUAAAGUGUUCGAAUUUGUAAACAAACCACUAACAUCACUGGUCAAGUGGAUUUAAAUGGCUGCUAAAGAUAUAUUAUUGGAUUUUGAAGCGUGCCAUGAAUGAAGAUCAUAAAAUAAUGUUUUCAGUGAUUGAUAUAAUGGUUCGUAGGAGAUUUGGAGUUAAACCUUGACUAUUAUAACCGAUAUAAGAUGUGGGUGGAAUAUAUCCCUUGGCCUGAUCAAGAAUAUAAUAAGACAAAAUCUAGUAUGACAGUUCAUUACU